rnacentral:lncRNA from 1 species
UAAAAGACAGGCCCCAACUAGGGGAUUAUCAUGUUGACUGCCAAAUCUUUCUCUGUAUUCACAAGGCCCAGAAAAUCUGGUGUGCUUUGUAAGCCCCUCCUGAAUCUGCACGAAGUCUGAGUCCAUUUCAGUCUUCUGGACAGAGACAAAGGAAGGAAAAGUAUAAUAUGACUGCUAACUUGCUCAGCACCCUUUACCUACCCACCCUGCAUCCCAACAUGUCAUGUGGAAAAGUCCUCAUUUUUUAUAUUGAGAAGGGUUUUUUGUUUGUUUGAUUAAUUUUUGAUUUUUCAGUGAAGUCAUUUUCUUUGUGUCAAUACCUUUUUCUCUACACUUACCAGGCUGUUGUAAGAAAUAAACUGAGAAACAUUUGAUCUCUCCUCUUCCUCCACCAAGUGCUGACCCUCAGGCUGCACCACCAGAGAGAGAGAGAGAGAGAAGAGGAGUAGAGGCUGGCCAUGAGCAUGCAGAGAAAGAAGGGAGGGGAAUGAGGAGAGAGGGGGGAAGGGGAGAGAGGACAGAAGGAGCAAGAAGGCAAGAACAAGAGAGAGAGGGGGAGGAGGAGGGGGCAAACAGUCCUUUUUAUUGUGAGUCAGGCACACCUGGCUGUUGCCAGGUAACUUGGGGGCAGAGUUUAAACAAAAUGCUGACAAUGGGGACUGGGGUCAGUUGGACAUAAAGGACUGUGGAGACUGCUGGAGACCAGAGUACUACCAUCCUGCAGUUAGUGAGAGAUAAAGCUGCAACAUUUCCAGCACUUCUCCAACCGCAACUCAGCUCAGCGGUAGCUGUUUUUCAGAAACUUCUGCUUUCCUCAACAGAAGGAAGUGAAAUAGAGAUGUUACUUUCUGGGUGGUUUAGCAAAACCGCUCUCUGUAUACCAUGUGCAACCUCCACACAACGACUUCCACAAUUGUGUCAAACCCAUCAAGCUACUCAACACACACACCAACAUACCACACACACACACACAUACACUCUCGUGCACACACACACACACACACACACACACACACAGAGAGACACACACACUCACAUUGAAAGCUAUGACAAAAGGAAUCAAUCUCAAGAAAAAUCAAACAUGUUUUGCCAUUGGGAUGGUAUUUGUUCAAAUGCUGUCUGUUAUGUAAGAGGUUGUGGGCCAAGGUUGGGGGAGGGACAGAUGGGGAAAUUCCAAUGUGUGCAAUUUUUGUGGAAAGGAUGACCGUAGGAGUAAUGCAGUCUCAGGAUUUCAUUGUGGGAACUCGGGAGUACUGAGGGUGGGAAUGAAGCCAGAGAAAGAAAGUAGAAUUACUUUUGACAUUCUUCACAGGUUUGUUUAAGGGGCACCUCAUUGAGAGUCUGCUCAGAGCACUUGCGUGUGGUUUGCAGAGAGCGAUGGAGAUCAACUUUGCCCAUCCCUGAUCAAAAUGUAGAGAAACCUGCUAAGGUGUCUGGAGGACGGGGAAUCAAACAUAAUUGAAGAAAUACCUGGGGAUUGGAUGGGAGAGGGACUCAUGAGUUCCCACCCCUCACUGCAGAGCUAAUGGCAGUGGUGCCAGGAGGAGGAGGGUCAGUUUUCUUCAGAGAUGCAGUUCUGAGGAAGAUGGGGAACUGGGAGGGCAUAGGAGACAGAAAUAGGAGAGUUGGAGGGGAAGACUAUGAUCCAAAUGCAUUGUAUCUAAUAUAUGACAUUUUCAAAGAAUAAGUUUAAGUAUAUUUUUAGAAAACUAUGCUGCUGCUGUAACAACCUGUGGUACAAAUUCAUGACACUGAUACAGGCCUGAAGAGGCCCGUGGUUCUGACUUCAUUGAAAAGGCAAUUUUAUUUUGCAGUUAUGUUAUCUCCUAUGACAAAACAAAAAGUAGUAAAUAAUAAUACCUUAUAAAGAAAUAUGAAUACAACUAGACAUAACCAACGCCAUCUUAAUUGUCCUUGGUUAUAGGACAACCCAAUGUGGUUAUAAAACCACCCUGGCUUAACGUUCCUGAUACAGCUGCCAACCAUUGAGCUGUUUGUUCUUGAUUUCUGCUGAAGUGGGUUGGGUACUUUCCAGUAAAAACCGCCUAAACCCGUCCUUACUCAUAUUUGCCUAGCACGUAGCAGAGAAGCCUUCCUGUUUGCACACCAUGCUGCUGGCUCAUAGCCCUGUGAUCAGACAUAUUUCCUCCUGUGGCAGCUGCUUCUUAUUCACCAGAACUCCAUGUUUCCUGAAACAGGCUUUCUCCAUAUUGUGGAAAACUUGCAUGAUUGAAUCUUCCUACUUCUGAAGAUGAAAUGAGUAGUUCUUUGCACACAAAGUUUGGAGGGUGCUUCUCAUUCUUCUCUUCUUCUCCUUUUUCUCAUUUACCUGAGAAGAAUUUUAAAUGGGUCAAAGGAAUGAGUGUCAGUCACCAAACUGACAAGUUGCCUUGAAUACCUGUAACUUUGUUAGAAUAAUAAAUUCUGGAGAAAACU